rnacentral:lncRNA from 1 species
UCAAUACCUUCGCUGCAACCGCUAAAAUCACAUGCACCUGUUGUAUUACUCUCUGCCUUCAUUCUUUCUUCCAAUUUUUCCACCUCCUGCACCAAUUUAAAGUCGUCGAGAUUGAUGAAGUUUGUCUUUGACCCUACGCUUGAGACGUUUCCCCCCUUCUCUCUAAAACCGUCACCAGACUGCUUCUUGUCGAUCACAGGUGUAUCAAAUCCCACACCCAUACCACUAUCAGCUUGCAAUCCAUCAACUCCUAGCAGUUCAACCGUGGCAAACAGAUUCAUCGAGCCCCUGGCCUUCAAAUGCUCAAAAAAAAUAUCUCAACGACCCAUCGUUUGUUAGCAAUACAUGGGGGGGUUUUAAUCCCGGUUGCAAGCUCCAAGCUACCCGGUGGCCAGUAAGACAGUGCAACACCAUACUCUAACUCCCUUGCUCUGAACUCAACCAGCACCCGACGCUCAAGCUCCUUUAUGGAUAUUCCUUCCUCAACCGAUACCAUCCUAGCCAUCUUCUUCUUCUCCACCACGAACUCCAAUUUACCAUCAGAACCACAAAUCCAUACUCCACACAUCACCAAACACAUCUCAUCCAUCUGCAUUUAACGAAACAGAGAAUCAAAAUCAUUACUCCAUAAGACACAGUACCGAACAGAAUCAUAACAAAAUCAACAAAUACCUUCGGUCGACUAGAUUCCGUAGAGAGCUAAAGCGAACUAUCCUCACUUUCUCUUUCACCUUAGAUCUCAACACAAAACCAAGCUCUGGCGCAAAU